rnacentral:rRNA from 1 species
AGUGGGGAAUAUUGGGCAAUGGAGGCAACUCUGACCCAGCAACGCCGCGUGAGGGAAGAAGGUUUUCGGAUUGUAAACCUCUGUCCUAGGGGACGAAGAAAGUGACGGUACCCUAGGAGGAAGCCCCGGCUAACUACNUGCCAGCAGCCGCGGUAAUACGUAGGGGGCGAGCGUUGUCCGGAAUUACUGGGCGUAAAGGGUGCGUAGGCGGUUUGGUAAGUUAGAUGUGAAAUCCCCGGGCUUAACUCGGGAGUUGCAUUUAAAACUGCUGAACUAGAGUGCAGGAGAGGAAAGCGGAAUUCCUAGUGUAGCGGUGAAAUGCGUAGAUAUUAGGAGGAACACCAGUGGCGANNNCGGCUUUCUGGACUGUAACUGACGCUGAGGCACGAAAGCGUGGGGAGCGAACAGGAUUAGAUACCCUGGUAGUCCACGCCGUAAACGAUGGAUACUAGGUGUAGGGAUCUNNNNAGGUCUCUGUGCCGCAGCAAACGCAAUAAGUAUCCCGCCUGGGGAGUACGACCGCAAGGUUG